UAACACAUGCAAGUCGAGCGGACCUUUCGGGGUCAGCGGCGGACGGGUGAGUAACGCGUGGGAACGUGCCUUCCGGUUCGGAAUAACCCUGGGAAACUAGGGCUAAUACCGGAUACGCCCUUAUGGGGAAAGGUUUACUGCCGGAAGAUCGGCCCGCGUCUGAUUAGCUAGUUGGUGGGGUAACGGCCUACCAAGGCGACGAUCAGUAGCUGGUCUGAGAGGAUGAUCAGCCACACUGGGACUGAGACACGGCCCAGACUCCUACGGGAGGCAGCAGUGGGGAAUAUUGGACAAUGGGCGCAAGCCUGAUCCAGCCAUGCCGCGUGAGUGAUGAAGGCCUUAGGGUUGUAAAGCUCUUUUAUCCGGGACGAUAAUGACGGUACCGGAGGAAUAAGCCCCGGCUAACUUCGUGCCAGCAGCCGCGGUAAUACGAAGGGGGCUAGCGUUGCUCGGAAUCACUGGGCGUAAAGGGCGCGUAGGCGGCGUUUUAAGUCGGGGGUGAAAGCCUGUGGCUCAACCACAGAAUGGCCUUCGAUACUGGGACGCUUGAGUAUGGUAGAGGUUGGUAGAACUGCGAGUGUAGAGGUGAAAUUCGUAGAUAUUCGCAAGAACACCGGUGGCGAAGGCGGCCAACUGGACCAUUACUGACGCUGAGGCGCGAAA
rnacentral:rRNA from 1 species